rnacentral:rRNA from 1 species
UACGUAGAAGACGAGUGUUAUUCAUCUUUAACAGGUUUAAAGGGUACCUAGACGGAAAAUCAAGCCAUAGUAGGGACUAAUUUUCUAGAGUUUUAUAGGUGAAGAUCGAAUUACCUGAGGAGCGAUGGAAUGCAUUGAUACAGGUAAGACGGAUAGCAGCGAAGGCAAUCUUCUAUGUAAUAACUGACGUUUGAGGGACGAAGCCU